rnacentral:tRNA from 1 species
GCGGGAGUCCGAUAGCCCGGUCAAUUCGACUGCGUUGAGGUCGCAGUGGCUUAGUGCCUUCGCAGGUUCAAAUCCUGCCUCCCGCA